AUGGGCGCUCAUAGGAGCGGGCAUGUGCCACGGGGUCAAUCCGAGGAGCUCAGUGGCUACCCCUGCAAUGGCCAUGGCAGACGGCGGUUCUCGGCCACGGCGAAAUACCUAACAAGAGCAAACGAGAGGGAAAACUGGGGAAAGGCAAGAGGAGAUCACGGCGGUGUCAAUGGCACCCUAGGGGAAGUCAGGGGAGCUCGGGGCGGCGCGGAUCGAACGGCAAUGUCACGGUGGCCGAAGGUUGAGGAAGACGGCAACGACAUCGAUCUGGGGGUGCUGGACUUGAUCCCAUUGACGCAGACGAAGUAG
rnacentral:rRNA from 1 species